rnacentral:siRNA from 1 species
AGCGCAGUGCGGAUGAUCACCUAGU